rnacentral:rRNA from 1 species
AGCUAAUAGAUACCCUGGUAGUCCACGCCCUAAACGAUGUCUACUAGUUGUUGGUGGAGUAAAAUCCAUGGGUAAACGCGGCUAAACGCGUGAAGUAGACCGCCUGGGGAGUACGGUCGCAAGAUUAAAACUCAAGGGAAUUGACGGGGGCCCGCACAAGCGGUGGAUUAUGUGGACUAAUUCGAUGCAACGCGAAAAACCUUACCUGGCCUUGACAUGCCACUAACGAAGCAGAGAUGCAUUAGGUGCCCGUAAGGGAAAGUGGACACAGGUGCUGCAUGGCUGUCGUCAGCUCGUGUCGUGAGAUGUUGGGUUAAGUCCCGCAACGAGCGCAACCCUUGCCAUUAAUUGCCAUCAUUUAGUUGGGCACUUUAAUGGGACUGCCGGUGACAAACCGGAGGAAGGUGGGGAUGACGUCAAGUCCUCAUGGCCCUUAUGGCCAGGGCUUCACACGUAAUACAAUGGUCGGUACAGAGAGUUGCCAACCCGCGAGGGGAGCUAAUCUCAGAAAGCCGAUCGUAGUCCGGAUUGUUCU